rnacentral:rRNA from 1 species
UACGUACCGUCCAAACGUUAUUCGGAAUCACUGGGCUUAAAGAGUUCGUAGGCGGCUCAGAAAGUUGGGUGUGAAAUCCCCCGGCUCAACCGGGGAAUGGCGCUCAAUACUGCUGAGCUUGAGGGAGAUAGAGGUGAGCGGAACUGAUGGUGGAGCGGUGAAAUGCGUUGAUAUCAUCAGGAACACCGGAGGCGAAGGCGGCUCACUGGGUCUUACCUGACGCUGAGGAACGAAAGCUAGGGGAGCGAACGGG